ACCACUUGGGGAUAACCUUGCGAAAGUAAGACUAAUACCCAAUGAUAUCCCACGAAGGCAUCCGAAUGGGAUUAAAGAUUUAUCGGUGAUGGAUGGGGAUGCGUCUGAUUAGUUGUUGCGGGUAACGGCCACCAAGGCGACGAUCAGUAGGGGUUCUGAGAGGAAGGUCCCCCACAUUGGAACUGAGACACGGUCCAAACUCCUACGGGAGGCAGCAGUGAGGAAUAUUGGUCAAUGGGCGAGAGCCUGAACCAGCCAAGUAGCGUGCAGGAUGACGGCCCUAUGGGUUGUAAACUGCUUUUAUAAGGGAAUAAAGUGAGCCUCGUGAGGCUUUUUGCAUGUACCUUAUGAAUAAGGACCGGCUAAUUCCGUG
rnacentral:rRNA from 1 species